rnacentral:lncRNA from 1 species
UGAAGAGAGACGGAUAGAAAGCAAAGUCAGAAAUAGUUUCUGCUCUUAAUUUGCUUCCACCUGAAAAGAUGUGUGGAAGGAGACCUGUAUCCCAAGAAUUCUCAGCGAAUAGCCUACGUAUGCCUGCAUGGCCACCUAUGCAAUCCUGUCCACAAGUGUAUGGUGACAUGUACAGAUUUAUAUACCUAACCCCAUGAAAAAAGAACAAUAAAAAACUGCAUAU